GUCCGGGUGGUGGAAUUGGUAGACACGCUACUUUGAGGGGGUAGUGGGCGUAGGCCUGUGUGAGUUCGAAUCUCAUCUCGGACA
rnacentral:tRNA from 1 species